CACGUGAGCAGGGGCGGCGGCGGCGGCGGGAGGGCGAUGGCGGCUCACCUGAGCUCGGGGCGCGUCAACCUGACGGCGUUGCGCGAGGCGGGGCGCCGGGAGCUCCGCGAGUUCCUCGACAAGUGCGCGGGCUCCAAGGCGAUCGUCUGGGACGAGUACCUGACCGGGCCCUUCGGGCUGAUCGCGCAGUACUCGCUCCUGAAGGAGCAUGAGGUGGAAAAGAUGUUCACGCUCAAGCCGGGCCGCCUGCCUCAGGCUGACGUCAAGAACAUCAUCUUCUUCGUCAGGCCCAAGCUAGAGCUGAUGGACAUCAUUACGGACAACGUGCUCAGGGAAGACAGAGGCCGCUCUCCCCAGAGGGACUUCCACAUCCUCUUCGUGCCGCGCCGCAGCCUGCUCUGCGAGCAGUGGCUGAAGGAGCAGGGCGUGCUGGGGUCCUUCAUCCACAGAGAGCAGUACAGCCUGGACUUGAUACCCUUCGACGGAGACCUGCUCUCCAUGGAGUCUGAGAGCGCGUUCAAGGAAUGUUACCUGGAGAGCGACCAGACAAGUCUGUACCAUGCGGCAAAGGGGCUGAUGACACUGCAGGCUCUCUACGGAACCAUCCCGCAGAUUUUUGGGAAGGGCGAGUGUGCCCGGCACGUAGCUAAUAUGAUGAUCAGGAUGAAGCGCGAGUUCCCUGGAAGCCAGAACUCGAUAUUUCCCGUCUUUGAUACCCUCUUGUUGCUGGACCGCAAUGUCGAUCUGCUGACGCCAUUAGCUACACAGUUGACGUAUGAAGGGCUGAUAGACGAAAUCUACGGAAUUCAGAACACUUAUGUGAAACUGCCUCCUGAGAAGUUUGCCCCGAAGAAGCAGGGUGAAGGUGGAAAAGAUCUCCCCACAGAACCCAAGAAGCUCCAGCUGAACUCUGCUGAAGAGCUGUAUGCUGAAAUCCGAGACAAGAACUUCAAUGCUGUGGGGUCAGUGCUGAGCAAGAAAGCCAAGAUCAUCUCAGCAGCCUUUGAGGAAAGACACCACGCAAAAACCGUUGGAGAGAUUAAGCAGUUUGUCUCACAGUUGCCACACAUGCAGGCAGCAAGAAGUUCCCUAGCAAACCACACCUCCAUAGCAGAACUCAUCAAAGACAUCACCACAUCUGAAGAUUUCUUUGAUAAUUUAACAGUGGAACAAGAGUUCAUGUCUGGAAUAGACACAGACAAGGUUAACAAUUAUAUUGAAGACUGCAUAGCUCAAAAACAUCCAUUAAUCAAGAUCUUGCGUCUCGUUUGCUUGCAAUCUGUAUGCAAUAGUGGACUGAAGCAGAAGGUUCUGGACCAUUACAAAAGAGAGAUUCUCCAGACUUACGGCUAUGAACAUAUAUUGACCUUAAACAAUUUAGAAAAGGCUGGACUCCUGAAACCUCAGACAAGUGGUAGGAAUAACUACCCAACGAUCAGGAAAACCCUGCGCUUAUGGAUGGAUGAUGUUAAUGAACAGCAUGAAGUAGCACGCACCUGCUGCUCACACUGUGCUCUCUCCUGCAGAACCCCAAUGAUAUCUCCUACGUGUACAGUGGCUACGCUCCGCUGAGUGUACGCCUGGCACAGCUACUGGCUCGGCCAGGGUGGCGGAGCAUAGAGGAGGUUUUAAAGAUGCUGCCGGGUCCCCAUUUUGAGGAGAGGCAGCAGUUACCUACUGGCCUUCAGAAAAAGCGUCAACACGGUGAGAACCGAGUCACUCUGGUGUUCUUCCUGGGAGGUGUAACAUAUGCAGAAAUUGCUGCACUGAGAUUUCUGUCCCAAAUGGAAGAUGGAGGCACAGAGUACGUCAUUGCCACUACAAAACUGAUCAAUGGAACAAGUUGGAUCAAAUCCUUGAUGGAAAAACUGGAGCCUGCCCCUUUCUAGAGUCUGUGGCGAGAGACAGUAAAAGUGAGAAGCCCUGUGUGAUGCAGGCACGUCAGCUUCUGGUCUUCUGGCAUGGAUGCUUGAACGUCAGAGAAACAUGACAGUUUUCCUGAGACCAGCUCAUGAUGUGGUUACCCUCACCCCUCUCUGCACUUGCGUUCCUACUGUUUGUGGAAGUUCCUAGUAAAGGCACUAACAAUGAAACAAACAACGGGAGAAAGAGAGAUUCCUGCUCGUGGUCUGAAUUGGCAAACAAGCAUUGGGGGAGCAGGGAUUUGCCCUGAUCCUUCUAUUUGGCAAAUUGCUUCUUUUUGUUCCUUCAGUUUAAUUUUAGUGGGAGAUGCGAUUACUUCUUUUUACCUUCCUAAGGUGCUGAGGAGGCAGGAUGUUUUCUGUUCCUGAUUUCAUACCAAUAUUCCCAGUCUGUCUUUCUCUCUCUGGUGCCUGAUCUAUUCCAUCGAUGCACUGGAUCUGUUUCUGUCAGAGAUCUGUACUCAGCUGUACCUAGGGUUCAGUUUCCCGCUCAUCUUUCUGAUGAAGCCAGGGAACUUGUGGUUCCCCCAGCUUCAGCACAUUCCUGUCAACAGGCAGCAGCAAGGGCCAGGCCACAAUAGCUAAGUUUUCUCACAUCCUUGGAAGCUGAUUGUACAAUGGAAAAAGAACUGCUGUAAAGGGGAAACAGUAACUUUUUUACUGCAUAGGUUUAGAAACUUCAUGGCUCUCAGGCAUCCAGAAUAAUGCACCUGCAGGACCUGCUUAGCCUGUGCUGUACUGUAACAAGAUGUUAUGGUUAGUUGCCUGUAGGACAUGCUCAAGUCCACUGUCCUGCAUGCUUUGGCCAAGGCAUUCAUUGGGUUUCCUGCAGCAACAGCUAAACCUUGAACUAUCCACAUCCAUGUCAACAGCACUAACUACGAAUACAACCAACCGCACCCAAGUUAUGAGGGAGCUGCUUGAGCCUUUUACUUCAGUUGCCCUCUGAAGGGAUCAGUGUGAGGUUCCUUGUUUGUGCUGGGUACACCCACCUGACUCUGGAAGGCAACUCCAGAGUAUGAAUGACAUCAGUGUCAAGAGCUUAUGUUUCAAGACACACAAACAUUCCCUGCAUGGGACUCAGGCCAAAAAUAGGUACGUUAGUGACCCAGUAAACAGCAGGUUUAAAACAGACACUUUUUUCACCCCCUCUGUUCAGUUUAUAAAUUGUGGUACUUGCUUCCAUGAGCUGUUGUAGAGCUCAACAUUUUAAGAUGGAAUUUUCCAUGGUCUUGGUGGCUGGGCCCUUGGUGGUAUUGAGCCAGCGUGUACAAGAGGCAGCUUGUGGCUCCGGAAGACUCAGCCAUGCUAAUUGCUAGAGGCUGGGAAGGCAGACCAGGGGUCUUUGCUUAUGCCCGUGCAGCUGCCCACUGCCAAAGCCUGUGCUGCUGCGCCUCAGCCCUUUCCCUGGUCACUGUCACUAUACUCAAAUGCUUCAACAGCAACCACUGGGGAUUCUGUUUCACACUGCACUUCACUCUUAAAAACAACUGAAAAAAAAGCCACCCCACACCUUAAAUCACUCUCUUAGCAAACAUUUCUGCUCUUAGUUAUCCUGCAUAAUGCAUAAUAUGUCCCCCCCCAAAGGCCUUCAUUUUUCCAAAUUGUUACAGUUAUGACUGUGGGUUUCAAUGUCUUGUUUUGUUUUGUAAGAAUGAGUUCUGCCAAAUCAGCUCCUUCACAGAGCCCCUGUGUCUGUUUAACUCCAGCUGGCUUAUUAGAGUAAAAUAAAAAUGUAUUUGAUCUUUUUUUGAAAGUGUUUGCUCACUCUCUCUCUCUGGAAUACAAAAAUAAAUAAAAUAAAACCCUG